UUGACCUCAAAUCAGUAGGAUUACCCGCUGAACUUAAGCAUAUCAAUAAGUGGAGGAAAAGAAACUAACAAGGAUUCCCCUAGUAACUGCGAGUGAAGAGGGAAAAGCUCAAAUUUAAAAUCUGGCAGCGGUUGCUGUCCGAGUU
rnacentral:rRNA from 1 species